rnacentral:rRNA from 1 species
CAGUAGCCACGGGAAUACGAAGGGGGCUAGCGUUGCUCGGAAUGGCUGGGCGUAAAGGGCGCGUAGGCGGUUUUGACAGUCAGAUGUGAAAUUCCUGGGCUUAACCCGGGGGCUGCAUUUGAGACGUCAAGACUAGAGUGUGAGAGAGGGUUGUGGAAUUCCCAGUGUAGAGGUGAAAUUCGUAGAUAUUGGGAAGAACACCGGUGGCGAAGGCGGCAACCUGGCUCAUUACUGACGCUGAGGCGCGAAAGCGUGGGGAGCAAACAGGAUUAGAUACCCGCGUAGUCCCUGUCUCUUAUAC